AGAGCAGGGCGCUCUGGGCCUAGCUCAGAGGACAUGCUCCUGAGGCUAGCUAUUUUUCUGCUACUACUCUGGCUAAGAGAGACAUGUAAGGGCUGGAUGUAAACUCCCAGAGGGCACCUCCUGGGCUAGAGAAGAUGCAGCAUGAGCUCAGGUGGGAAGCAAGGUCUGUGUUGAGAUACUGAAUACAGGACCAAGAAUACAGAACUGGAGGACUAUGGGUGAAGAAGGUGCAGACCAGGCUGUAUUAUGGAAGUGGUUUCCAUCCCUCUCUCCAUCCAUGUGAACUUGCCCACUUUCCAGCUGUAUGAUCUGAUGAGCCCAGGUUUCUGGCAAAAUACAGAGGCCCAGCCCCUCUGGAAUGUUUAAAUUUCUGAAUUAAGAAAAGUGGGCACCCACACAGUGUGUCCAAACCUACAUCCAGCUUUCUCAUUCCCUUGCAUGAUCUGUACAUAUCUAACACCCCAAGGGCAAUUCUUUGUGAUUUUUCUACCAUGCUUGGACGUUCUUGCCUCAAGCUCCUAUGGGAUCCCACCUCUCCUCUGCUGGCUUGCUCCAAUACACUCUUCAUGAAGACUUUCCUAUGGCCCCAUACUAGAAGCAUUUUCUCUCUCCUCAAAUGCCAUAUUUUUCUUCUGUGGUGAAGAUGUGUGUAUGUGUCUUCUUACGCUACUCAUGACCUUGAAAGCAGAAAGUUGAAGGUAUUCAGGUGUCUAGCGGGGAUUACACAGUAGGCACUCAUCCCCUCAUACAUUUCUUUAUUCUGUAAACUUGAAAGCCAGGCAUUGUUCUAGGCACUGAGGACACCGAGGCAAUAGGACACUGAUUUCCUCUUUCAUAUGCUUGUUAGGAAUUCAACACAACACGAAAUAAUCAACAAAUUCGGGGAAUGUUAAUCUGACCAUCACCAGUUACAAAUGAUGUUUCAUGCUACCUUCUAUUCCUGCCUUCAUAAAUCAAGGUAAUUACUUGGCAAUCUGGCUAUGCCUUGUAAGGCAAAAGAGCUGUUCAUUUCUUGUGUCAAAUGGUGAACAGGGAGGGAGAGUAAAAUGGUAAAUAACCCUGCCUCCCAUCUGUGCCCAAUCAGCUCUAAAUCUCCAGGAAAAAAUGUGCUCAGGAUGGCCAGAGAAAUGUCCUUCCAACUGUGCAUGGAAAGGUAUGAUUUUGUGCAGCAGGUGAAGGACUGGUUAGAGUAAGUGUGUGCUGAGCUUUUGUGUUUGAAAGCGAGCCUGUGCACUUCUAACGAUUGGAAGGUUUCCUUGCCUUCUCCGAUCUUACACACAGCAAGGACAGCAAAGCCUUCCAGACCUGCCUGUGACAUGCACUGCACAUUCUAAAGAUGCCUAUGCAAUGGAAAACACCACUGUCUGCUCCAGCACAGCUGCCAUUCUUCCAUCUUAUCGACCUUAAUGCAACAACUCCUCACAGGCAGAGAUUUUAAAAUGUGUUCUUGGCAGAAGAGAGACUCAAAGAUGGGACAAAUGUGUCAUUUAAAUGCCUGUUAAAAUGGAAACAGACAUAGUAUAGUCAGAGGAUUGUGGCAGCUAAGAACAUAGUCUCUGGAGCAAAUCUGCAUGGGUGGCAAUGCCAAGCACAUGAGGUCCUAGUUGUAUGAACUUAGGAAAAGAAAAAGAGAACAUAUAUCCCCCUACCUUUUGAUUUCCAACAGUCUACUGAGAGGCCAAGAUUAUUUGCAGGGAAAGAAAAGGGGUCAAAAUGUUUUGCCAGUAACUCCCAAAUCAUCUACAGCCAAGGAGAAAAGUGUUUCAAGACAGAGGUGCUCAAUGGUAUCAAAUACUGCCAACAGACCAAGUAAUACAUGCAUUGAAGUGUCUACUGGAUCUAGCUAUAUGAAUUUUUAAUUUAGGACACUUAGGCCAUACUGAAGCAAGGUGACAAAAUGAAUAGCUACAAUGUCUCGUGAAUCUUGGGUUUCCAUUCACCCUGGUAUUCAAGAGAAAUUCUUGCAUCAUGGAAGUUGCAGUUGGAUAGGACUUUCUCAGCUGAACACUGUCAUCUGCCAGAGCUUCAGGCAAGAACCCAGAACAGAUGAAACCCCAGACAUGACAAAAUAAGCCAAAGAAUACCAGGCCAAGGUGUGAAAGGCCAGAUGAGAACAAGCAGCGUACACGAUUCUGUUGCCAACAGAUCUCCCCUAACAGUGUCGUGCACCAAAUUUCCACAGUGAAUGUCAGGAAAAAAUGGCAAUUGAGGUGGGUGGUCAAAAGAGAAGCACAGUCUAUGAUGAAGUCACCCCAGAGAAGUCCUUUUUCCGUUUUCUCCUGAGAAAUUACCAGAAGAAAUUAAAAUCCUUUUGAGUAUUGCAUUUA
ensembl:lncRNA LINC00710 long intergenic non-protein coding RNA 710